rnacentral:rRNA from 1 species
GAAUUUUGGACAAUGGGCGCAAGCCUGAUCCAGCCAUUCCGCGUGAGUGAAGAAGGCCUUCGGGUUGUAAAGCUCUUUCGCAAGGGAAGAAAACUUACAUUCUAAUAAAGUGUGAGGCUGACGGUACCUUGAUAAGAAGCACCGGCUAACUACGUGCCAGCAGCCGCGGUAAUACGUAGGGUGCGAGCGUUAAUCGGAAUUACUGGGCGUAAAGCGUGCGCAGGCGGUUUGGCAAGUCAGAUGUGAAAUCCCCGAGCUCAACUUGGGAACUGCGUUUGAAACUGCCAGACUAGAAUAUGUCAGAGGGGGGUAGAAUUCCACGUGUAGCAGUGAAAUGCGUAGAGAUGUGGAGGAAUACCAAUGGCGAAGGCAGCCCCCUGGGAUAAUAUUGACGCUCAUGCACGAAAGCGUGGGGAGCAAACAG